rnacentral:rRNA from 1 species
UGAUCUUCUCGUGCGCUCACGGGCCAUGCUGCGGGAUGAAUUUGAACAGACGCUGGCAUCGGCUGAUGGUACGCGGCUGUGGAAACUGCCGGUGACCCCCUUACUCACCUUCUCCGUGAAU